GUGAGGAAUAUUGGGCAAUGGGCGAAAGCCUGACCCAGCCACGCCGCGUGAGUGAUGAAGGCCUUCGGGUUGUAAAGCUCUGUGGGGAGGGAAGAAAAAGCGCAGGAGUAACUGCCUGUGUGUUGACGGUACCUCCUUAGCAAGCACCGGCUAACUCUGUGCCAGCAGCCGCGGUAAUACAGAGGGUGCAAACGUUGCUCGGAAUUACUGGGCGUAAAGCGCGUGUAGGCUGACAUGCAAGUCGGGUGUGAAAUCCCAGGGCUCAACCUUGGAACUGCACUCGAAACUGCACGUCUUGAGUACUGGAGAGGGAAGCGGAAUUCCGGGUGUAGAGGUGAAAUUCGUAGAUAUCCGGAGGAACACCAGUGGCGAAGGCGGCUUCCUGGACAGUAACUGACGCUGAGACGCGAAAGCGUGGGGAGCAAACAGGAUUAGAAACCCUAGUAGUCC
rnacentral:rRNA from 1 species